AUUGAUCGCUGGCGGCAGGCUUAACACAUGCAAGUCGAGCGGGGGAAGGUAGCUUGCUACCGGACCUAGCGGCGGACGGGUGAGUAAUGCUUAGGAAUCUGCCUAUUAGUGGGGGACAACAUCUCGAAAGGGAUGCUAAUACCGCAUACGUCCUACGGGAGAAAGCAGGGGAUCUUCGGACCUUGCGCUAAUAGAUGAGCCUAGGUCGGAUUAGCUAGUUGGUGGGGUAAAGGCCUACCAAGGCGACGAUCUGUAGCGGGUCUAAGAGGAUGGUCCGCCACACUGGGACUGAGACACUGCCCAGACUCCUACGGGAGGCAGCAGUGGGGAAUAUUGGACAAUGGGGGGAACCCUGAUCCAGCCAUGCCGCGUGUGUGAAGAAGGCCUUAUGGUUGUAAAGCACUUUAAGCGAGGAGGAGGCUACUUUAGUUAAUACCUAGAGAUAGUGGACGUUACUCGCAGAAUAAGCACCGGCUAACUCUGUGCCAGCAGCCGCCGUAA
rnacentral:rRNA from 1 species